rnacentral:snoRNA from 1 species
AUACCAUGAUGAGGGAAAUCUUCAGUCAACUCAUUUAAUCUUUCCCAAGCUUUAGCAAUUGACUCCCCAUACUUUUGACUAAAGUUUUGGAUGAGUUG